rnacentral:lncRNA from 1 species
AGGAGAGUCCACAAACAAAUUCAUUACUUUAGAAAAGACUUUCAAAUAAAAAUCUUUCCAGGAGUAGUAAUUGCUAUAAAGGUCAAGAAACUACAUUGUGGGAAAUUAGUAAAUAUGCAAAAUAUUGAUUGAAGAAAAUUGCAUCAAAUCUCCCAAGAAUGUAUUAAAUCCUGGUAGAGUUUGAGUAACAAUGACUGCUUUUCUACAAUUAUAUUUGCAGAAAGUUAGAAUUUCUAAGACGUGAAAAUGACACCUUGCCAUCAGUUUGCUUUUUAUUUUCAAAGUGCUUCCUCAUGAAACAGGUGGUAAUUGUAUUAAUAAAAUUUAAACGAUUAAUAUUGUAGCGUGCUUGGAACAAUAUAUGGCAUAUGGUAAGUGCUCGAUAAAUGUUAGUUAUUUACAUGUAUCUUUAAAAUUUCAAAUCCCUUCAAACAUAUUAUCUCAUUUGACCGUCAGGCGACCUCUCUGGGUUGGUGAAGUACUGGAUGCAUCCUUUUCACCCACAUUUCUUAGUGUCUCUUCUGUGCCAGACCCAUGAGACAUCACCCUGAGCAGUGGUCUCCUGAAAGAUGACUGUGCAAAGAAACAAUCACAGAAAUAAUGCAGCAAAUGAAAGGCUUAUUCUAGGAGGGGAAAGGGGAUUCCUGUGACGGGCGACUGGUGAGGGCCCUUUCAAUGACGACGCCAUCUUCAAACAGACACAGAGCGAGCCGUAAGCACAGCAGGCAGCAUCACGGGAUGCCGAGCUUUUAAUGACGCCUUGUGUUGCACAGUGCGUGUGCCACGAGCUAUGACAUCUGCAUUUUUGGGCCCUCCUUGGUGGGAGGGGGACCCAUGGGUGGCCUAAGAGCAGAAAUAAUGCCUGGUGCUACGGAAGCAGGCUGUGGGCAGGCGGGCCCUGACACGCCAUCAGCAUUUCUUGGCAUCACGACUUGCGUCUGAGGACCAGGUAGACAUGGAACUUUGCAAAUGAGGCGGCCCCGCUGAUCCAGGGGCACAGGUCCUGCAAGACCUUGACAGAUGUCUCCAGGAUUUGUGUCCUCUCCGCCAGAAGGCAGAAUGUCCAAUUUAUAACUGUAACCCGGACCCCCGCAAAUACACAUUCCAGUGCCAAAAUGAAUAAAGCUGAAUGUAAGCGUUUUUAUUUUUUCUAUGACCAGAAAAUGCUCACCACUUUUUCCCUAUCCAGUUUUAGAGGCGAUAAAUGCCGUGCAGUUUCUAGGACUUGAUUCUAUAGUGCCGUGUACUUCCUAUUAAUUAGUUCAUUUAUAUUUGUCCUGCUCAGGCUAAAUCAUAAAUAGUCAUAAGAAUCAUAAUAUCCUCGGAUAGCACCAGGCACUGUACUCAGCAUAGACUUGAAGCUUAAUUAACUCGAGCAAAUUGGAUGGAGAGCAGAGGAAAAUGAGAAAGAUGUGAAAAUGAUGGGAGAGAAGACAAGAAGCUCCAGCCUCCUCCUGAAAGCUGGAGCAGGAGAGACGGCAGGAAACACAGGCUCGAGACGGAAGGCGGAAGGCGGAAGGCGGAAGGCGGAACUCAACCCAGGAGCCUCCCGCCGGAAGUUGUGCGAUUUCUUUAAUCAGAGUGGCUUCCCACAAAUGUAUUUCCUGCCUGAUCCCGCUGUCUGUGUCCUUGCAGUGUGAGUGGCAGAAUCCCUUGAAGAAGACCGAGCCAGUGACCUCGUUUCUGAAAUAAAAGGCGGGAAGUGAGGGAGCCAGUGGUCACCGGGCAGCCAACCCAGAAGGAAAAAUCUCCAAGAGUGGGAACAGUUAAUCAUCAUCAUCAUGAUAAUUAGCAUUUACCAAGUACGUUUGCCACAUCUCGAGCUGCGAGCUGCCUGUGCCCAUCUCAUGGAGCCCUGGAGUUUUUAUUCUCCCCACCUUCUAUUCAGGCAAACUGAGGCUUCGAGAAUCAUGACCCAGGCAAACUGCAAGAUUCUCGGUAACACGAGAAAGACAGGACUUUGCUCACUGGCUAGUGUUUCCUAUCACAAAAAUAACAGCAGAGUUCAUACUUCUGACAAAGUUUUACAACUAAGGAAGAAAAAAAAUCAGGUUCCUGGUUGGUCACCCCUCGGCUCCAGCAGAUGUAGGGGCUGGAGCACUCCCUGUGUUUGGUUCAACAAGGCUGACGUCGGGCUCGUGUGCUGGGACUGGACUCCGCCGUCAGCUCCUUAGGACCUGGCAGCUUCUCCUCUUGGCUUUUUGUAAAAAUUAGAGUAAUUUAAAUCUCCAAUAUGUUGU